rnacentral:rRNA from 1 species
GAUGAACGCUGGCUACAGGCUUAGCACAUGCAAGUCGAGGGGAAACGACGGGGAAGCUUGCUUCCCCGGGCGUCGACCGGCGCACGGGUGAGUAACGCGUAUCCAACCUGCCUCUGACUGAGGGAUAACCCGUCGAAAGUCGGCCUAAUACCUCAUGGUAUCGUCUGCGGGCAUCCAACGACGAUUAAAGAUUUCAUCGGUCAGGGAUGGGGAUGCGUCUGAUUAGCUUGUUGGCGGGGUAACGGCCCACCAAGGCUACGAUCAGUAGGGGUUCUGAGAGGAAGGUCCCCCACAUUGGAACUGAGACACGGUCCAAACUCCUACGGGAGGCAGCAGUGAGGAAUAUUGGUCAAUGGGCGAGAGCCUGAACCAGCCAAGUAGCGUGCAGGAAGACGGCCCUAUGGGUUGUAAACUGCUUUUAUGCGGGGAUAAAGUGAGGGACGUGUCCCUCAUUGCAGGUACCGAAUGAAUAAGGACUGGCUAAUUCCGUG